rnacentral:rRNA from 1 species
GACGAACGCUGGCGGCGUGCUUAACACAUGCAAGUCGAGCGAUGAAGUUCCUUCGGGAAUGGAUUAGCGGCGGACGGGUGAGUAACACGUGGGUAACCUGCCUCAUAGAGGGGAAUAGCCUUCCGAAAGGAAGAUUAAUACCGCAUAAGAUUGUAGUAUCGCAUGAUAUAGCAAUUAAAGGAGUAAUCCGCUAUGAGAUGGACCCGCGUCGCAUUAGCUAGUUGGUGAGGUAACGGCCCACCAAGGCGACGAUGCGUAGCCGACCUGAGAGGGUGAUCGGCCACAUUGGGACUGAGACACGGCCCAGACUCCUACGGGAGGCAGCAGUGGGGAAUAUUGCACAAUGGGGGAAACCCUGAUGCAGCAACGCCGCGUGAGUGAUGACGGUCUUCGGAUUGUAAAGCUCUGUCUUCAGGGACGAUAAUGACGGUACCUGAGGAGGAAGCCACGGCUAACUACGUGCCAGCCGCCGCCGUAA